ensembl:lncRNA
CUGCCGUCCAGGAGGACGUUCCCGAGCGGGCCGCUGCCGUCCAGGAGGACGUUCCCGAGCGGGCCGCUGCCGUCCAGGAGGACGUUCCCGAGCGGGCCGCUGCCGUCCAGGUGGACGUGCCCGAGGUUCCCGAGGCGGGGCUCGAGGUGGUUCGGGAUGCCGAGGCGGUGCCCGAGGCUGUGCCCGAUGCCGAGGCGGUGCCUGAUGCGGUGGCCGAGGCGGUUCCCGAUGCAAUGUCCGAUGCCGAGGCGGUGCCCGUUGCCGAGGCGGUGCCCGAUGCGGUGGCCGAGGCGGUUCCCGAUGCGAUGCCCGAGGCCGAGGCGGUGGUCGAGGCAGAGGCGGUUCCUGAUGCGAUGCACGAGGCCGAGGCGGUCCCCGAUGCCGAGGCGGUCCCCGAUGCAAUGCCCGAUGCCGAGGCGGUGCCCGAGGCCGAGGCGGUGCCCGAUGCCGAGGCGGUGCCCGAUGCCGAGGCGGUGCCCGAUGCCGAGGCGGUGCCCGAGGCGGUGCCCGAUGCCGAGGCGGUUGCGGUGCCAGAGACGGUGCCAGAGACGGUUCCCGAUGUAAUGCCCGAGACCGAGGCUGUUCCGGAGGUCGAGGCGGUGCCCGAUGUUGUUCCCGAUGCCGAGGCGGUGCCCGAUGCUGUUCCGCAGGUCGAGGCGGUGGCCAAUGCCGUUCCGCAGGUCGAGGCGGUGCCCGAGUUGGUUCCAGAGACCGAGGCGGUGCCCGAGGUGGUGCCCGAUGCGCAGGCCGAGGUCGUUCCCGAGGCGGUGCCCGAUGCGCAGGCCGAGGUCGUUCCUGAGGUGGUGCCCGAUGCAGAGAUCGUUCCCGAGGCGGUGUCCUUGUCCAAGGCCGUUCCCGAGGCCGUGCCCGAGGCCGUUCCCGAGGCGGGGGCCUUGUCCAAUGUCGUUCCUGAGGCCGUUCCUGAGGUCGUUCCUGAGACCGUUCCCGAGGCGGUGUCCUGGUCCGAUGCCGUUCCUGAGGCCGUUCCUGAGGCCAUUCCAGAGGCGGUGGCCGAUGCUGUUCCGGAGGCCGAUGCGGGGCCCAGGAUGGCUCCGGAGGCGAUACCCGUGUCCAAGGCCGUUCCCGAGGCGGUGCCCUUGUCUGAGGUCGUUCCUGAUGCCGUUCCCAAUGCCGUGACCGGGCCAUCGCCACAGCCUGCUCCUUACUGGCUCCCCGAUUGGCAGGUUCCGUUCGGGCCACUCAAAUGGCGAAUUCCUCCCUGGCCGUCUGCACAACGAGAAUGGACUGAUCCACCGUGGCCACCUGAACUGCCUGGCCCCUCGUGGUCCCCUGAACUUUCGGGUCCACCGUGGCCACCUGAACUGCCUGGUCCCUCGUGGUCCCCUGAACUUUCGGGUCCACCGUGGCCACCUGAACUGCCUGGUCCCUCGUGGUCCCCUGAACUUUCGGGUCCACCAUGGCGCCCUGAUCUGACCGAGCCACCUGGGCUACCAGGGGAGCCAUCGCUGCCGGUCCCAGUUCCCCUACACGGGCCUGGCCCGCCAUCCCUCCCCC